AUUCGGCUUAACACAGGCCUGCGAGAUUGCUCGCCACCUACAUUGGUAGAAUGUACUUAAAACACUUUAUUUUCCCCUGGAGAGGCCAACAAAGGAAACGUUUUUUUGUGCGCACGUUCUGUUUAGUUUAAAGUGGCCACAUUAGUUAAAUAUUAGUUUAAAAAUUGCCCGUGUUUUUAGGCCCAAGCACAAAAGGUGCGAAGGACCCUACUGUUUUUGGCAGGAUUAUUUAUGGUCCAAGCACCGCAGGUUUUGUAAUCGUUAGUGUAUUCUUCUUCUUCUUCUGCUCUUGAGUCUAUGGCAGCCCAUAGAAGUAUACAUAGUAAAGUUAUGAAAUUUGGAACAUAAAUAAGGGACAGUCUGAAAUGUUACCAUAGCAAAUUUGGAGUUGCUAUCUCAAACUCUCUAGUGCCACCAACAGCUCAAAGUUGCACUCAUGCUUAUGCUAAUAACUUUUGACCGUAAGGGCUAGAAACAAAAUUCUUUUCUCCUCUAAUUCCUUGGCUCAUGCCGAGUUAUGCACCCUAUGGUGUCAUUUUCCAUCAUGAAAGUUUUUCCACCAUUUUGAAUUUUCUGAAAAACCUACUUUUAGAACUCCUCCUAGACCGUUUGUCAGAUUUUACAAAAAUGGAGUCAGAUCAUCUUCAGACCAUGCCGACAAAAACUUAUUGAAUUCAAGUUUAUUAGUCAAACUGUUCUUAACGUGCAAACGAAUUCGACGACGAGUACGCCAAAAUGGACGUGCGGCUAUAUCUCCACUUCAGCAUAUUCAGACCAAACUUAGUAUACAGUAUGUCAUAGCCAUCAUGACUUGAGGGUACCUGCAUAGUUUCAGAACAGUGCCACCUAGUGCUCACAAGAUAUGAAAAAAAAAUCUUAUUUUUGCUUAUAACUUCUGAAUAUUUUGUCCUAAAAUGGGGUAUACUGAGUUGAAUGGUAUGAAAUUUUCCUGUUGGCCAUUUUGGGUGUUGGCCAUUUUGAAUUUAUUUGUAAAAUGCUGUAUUUCACGAACAUCUUGGCAUGUUGUUAUGAAAAUCACUAUGUGUCAUCGCCACAAUGUCCUGAAGGUACCUAAAAGUUUCAGGACAGUGCCACAUUGUGGUCAAAAAUAAUAUUGGAAUUUCAAAAAAUGCUAAUAGCUUAUAAUUACUUUUAUUGUCAUGACACAGGUCCUGAUAGAUUCCUUGAGUCAUGCUGAGAGCAGUGAUGCCUAUAAUGCCAUGGUCGGUCUAACUUGAUAUCUGCCAUUUUGAAAUGCCUUGAAAACCUUCUUUUUCGAACUCCUCCUAGACCAUUUGUCCAAUUUCGAUGAAAAUCGAAUCAGAUGAAAAUCAGAUCAGAUGGAAUUCAAGUUGAUUAGUCAAACUGUUUUUGAAUAACGCUCAAACAAAUUUAACAAUGAGGAUGUGGAAAUGGACAUGAGGCUGUAUCUCUGUAAUCAUAUUAUCAAUUCAUAUUUAUCAUAUUUAGACUAAACUUAGUAUAUGUGUUUGCCUUUUGGGCUGAGAAGUUUGUGCAAAAUUUGAAGAAAAAAAAAAAAGAAAAGAAAAUCAGUCACCGGGUGAUGCUGUCACAUUUUACAUGUGUUAAUUGUUUUAUAUAAUGUAGUUUUUCAGAGAAACACAUGGAUCUGAGGCUGUAUCUGUACAACUCUUUGAUGUAUUGUGAUGAAAGUUUAUAUGUGCCAUUGUAACCAUACAUGCUUAUAGUUUUUCUGAAUUUCAUCCCAUGGCUAUGAAUCUCACCUCUUUCAAUUUCUUAGCUCCUACAGAAACCAGUGAUAUAUAUUUUUCCAUAGUAGGCUAUUUUGUCUGUCCUCGUUACAACGUGCUUGUAACCCUACUGUAAUUUUUAGAAUUUUUAAGGGGCCAAGCACCGAAGGUACACUGAAAUUAUGUCUUCUUUUUCUUCUUCUUCUUCUUCCUCUUAUUAUUAUUAUUCCACAAUGAGAGACUACCCAAUGAGCACACAUAUGUCUGGAAGAUGUUUGGAAUAUCUGGAAAAGACUGCGGUACUUUUUAAAUGUCUUAUUUAGGUUGCAUGAAGAAUCCAGCGUAAAAACUGUGCCAAAUCAAAUAUGCGUACCAGUGAUCCACUGUGGCAACCCUUAACGGGAGCAGCCGAAAGAAGAAGAAGAACAAAAUUUAGGUCGCAUGAAGGCCUCGGAGCUUCGCCCAUACGAGGCAUUGCGUUCACUGAUUCUGACAGUCAAAUUCAAAAAUCUGCACGAGCGCUCACCUGCAACAACGGAAUCAGGUGACCAACUGAACAGCAAGGCUUAACAAUGCCGGAGCUAGUUUCACUUCCUGUUUUCUUCCUGCGUGACUACGGCCCCGCCCUGAUGUGGUUCACCUGUGUCUGAUCGUCUCCUUGUGUAUUUAAGCCCUGUGUUCCUUAGCCUAGUUGCUAGUCUAAGCUUCUUACUGCCUAGCGGUCCAGCUUUUUCUCAGUGACUCUCUGUUGACUUUUCUUGCGCUAAUUUCCCGUUUAGCCUUGCUUUUUUGAUCCUGAUUCAGUGUUUGUGAUGUGGAAAAAUCUGCCUGAAUUUUUGAGAUCUUUUGUACCUUUGGGACCUCAAUCUCAGUAAAGACUUUUUGAACCACCAGCUGUGUACUGAGUUGUGCAGUUGGCUACAGUUAUGACGUGUAUAUUGGUUAGCCAACCAUAUAAUAAAUAUAUCUAAUUUUAUUGUACUUUCAUAUAUAGUUGUUACAGCACAAGCUGUUUAUUACAACUUUUGCGUUGGUUACUGCUGGAGGAGCUGAGAGAAGGUAACACGAAUCUUUUACCAACAAUAUAGCUCUACAUGCCUACUGUUUAGGGCUGAAUAGCAAACAGUAUAGCAUCUUUACUUAUUACAUAACAGUAUAGCUCUACAUGCCUACUGUUUAGGGCUGAAUAGCAAACAGUACAGCAUCUUUACUGUAGUACUAACUGUAGUACUUAUUUACUACACACAGGCUUAAACUUUGGCUUUGAGCGUAUUAAAAGCCAAGAUACGGAGAGAGCAAGUGAAACACUAUGCAUGUGGCAGAACUAAUAUUUACUAAUACUGUUAUAUCAGAUGGUUUGUUCUGUAGGCUUCUUCAAAGUUUAAUGCAACAAAUAGGCCACUGAGUCAAAACCAGUGCAGAUUAUUUUAAACUGUCUGAUGUUAACAUGGUUUUAUUGUUUAAAUAUAAUUAGUUUUCCAGGAUAUUAUUUUGUCCUGCUUUGUCCCAGGUAACACAUUAUGAAAUGUUAAACCAAAAUUUAAAUAAGGCAGUGUUUUGCAGGAUUUUAUUUUGUCCUGCUUUGUCCCAGGUAACACAUUAUGAAGUGUUAAAAAUGACUGUGUGAUGUCAAACUUAAAUAUUUUGCAUGAGGGGAAAAGGCAGAAGUAUGAUAAAAUACUGCUCAGAAACAAGAUGAAUUCAUUGAUCAGACCAAACUGAGAGCUAUCAGAACAUGGCCUGAUAUUAUAAUGAGCACACUUGAUUGGCAUCUCAAAGGAACUCCAGCCUGCUUCACUCAUAAAUAUAGGGAACAUAAAUGCUGCAUUAGCCACUGUUACAAGCUACUAGAUACUUAAACACAGGGAACUGAUGGAAUGGUGAGUGUUUAAUAGAACUGAUGAAGAACAGGUGUUAAUACUCUAGCGAGAUGUGGUGUUGUGAGCUGCAGGGAGCGGUUGGCUUGCUGGCUGGGCAGGGCAGGGCCCAUUACAAUGAGGUUACCAUAGUCCGAUAACAUUCUGACUAUUUAACAUCCUGCUUCAAAACAGCACUAAGAUCAAAUCAGAAUUUAAAAAGUCUGAGUCUCAAAUGCUAAUUCAACCUGGGGAGGCUUUGUAAGAAAAAGCUCCGUUCCCUGCUGCUGUCUUCAUUAUCCUACUGAUAUAGAACAUGCAUCAUUUGAUUAAAACAGGAGUAGGUGAUUUAAGUAGACUAAAAUUUCACUGGUGCUGUGGUUGAAAAAAUUCAGUGGUUUAUAAGAAUAUAAUACUACUUUAUGAAGAGUUAACCUUCCCGUUUGGCCGAUAUAUGACAAGCCAGACUUAUGAUGCCACGUAACCACGUUUACCUGCGGACUCAAAAGCCUGUGUACCCCUAAGAGAAAGCUGGAUCGGGUGAACUGGAUGAGAUGAGAACAUAGUGAUGGGAAGGUCAGAUCAUUGUACUGACUUGGAUCUUUGAAUCUCGUUCAGCAAAAUGAACAAAUCUUUAUUCAAGUCAUUUCAUUACAGAAUUGAAUAGCAGAAAUACAUUAAAAUAUAAAAUUUUCAAUAGCCAAAUGAUUUCUGAAGCACAAAUGAUUAAUUCACCAUUUAACUGGGCCUUCUGGGCUGAAUCGUUCAUUCUUUGGUCACGUGACAGCAGCAUACACAAUGUACAAGAAACAGAAAUGAUUAGUUCACCUCCCGAGCCUUCUGGUCUGAGUCUUACGUUCUUUUGUCAUGUGACAGCCACAUAGGCGGAGACUCUGAAAAGGUUAAAGCAUUAACUAACUCUUUAUUACCAGAUUCAAUGUUGAAAUGUAUGGAAAAGAACCAUCAUGACAGAAAUGUGUAAAUAAUAUUUAUACUUAUUAAUAAUAUUAAUAAUAAUAAUACCAUAUUCUGGGUUUAUCCGCUUGCCUGUACAUAGUGUAUUUUAUUAAUAAGGUGUAUACUGAAUUUGGUCUUUAAUAUCACUCUCUUAAGACAUGAAGCCACGUUAAGCGUUUUCUUUAUAACGGGUUUCUAUGGGGAGAAAACACUUAAUGUAAAAAUAUUAUCUUGUAAGAUAUAAAAAUAUAUCUUUCCACUUGGAUUACGGCGCCCUACUCUUGCAAUUUGUAAGAGUACAAAUUUAAUUUCAUGCCAUUUAUGUUCAAAUUCAGUCAACUGAUUGAUAUCUGAGGGGGUCAGAGAGUGAGAUUUUCAGUAAUGGUAUUUUCCAUUUAAUGCAGUAGCAAGACAGUGUGUACAGUAUAUUAUGAUUAAGAUGCAUUUUAUAUGAAAUGAGGUAAUUAUCAGUGAUCAUUUCAGACUGUAUUAGUGUGACUAUGUUUUCUAUAUUUAUGUCAGUAUCUCUCUCUGUCGAGCUACACAUGCUACUCCUGACAUACCAGUGAUCCUGACCCCAUCUGCUCUCCAGACCUUUUAUCCAUCCUGAUGCCCUGCUUCUGUCUGGCGUUCUCAUCACCUGAAAAUCACUCGCUGCUGCUGAGGAUGGCCCCACAUGGACAGCCUAAAGAUCACCAUGAGAUUACUGUGGAUGUGAAAGACUCAUGGUGGGUCACUUUUCUCAUAGCUGGACAGCCAGAGGUGCUCUUGAAAAAGCCCAGAAGGAACUGAAUCUACCAUCACAUUCCCUCAGAAUGCCAAACAAGAUGGGGUUCCGGACAGAUGAUGAGCAGCAGGAUACUAGAGCAGCAGAAGGCUUUAACUCAGGUCCUGUCUGGGGAUAAGAAGGUGCGGCAACCUGGCAAGAUACAGAUGUCCUGGAAUCUGUCAGCAAGUCACUGGUCCCACUGCUGGACUUCAUAGAUGCACUGUCAGGAGAAGACUACAUUAGUGUCUCCUAUGUGAAGCCAGUUCUUCACCUCUUCAAUGCUGCUAAUACUAGAGGAAGACACAGACCUGACCAAUACCUUGAAGAAGGAGACAUUGGACUACAUAAAUGAGAAAUAUAUAGAUGAAGCUACUCAGAAGCUGCUAAAUGUGGCAUCUUGUUUGGGCCCCUGGUUCACAAUGGACUUCAUCAGUGCAGACAACAAGCCCCAAGUCAAGGCCAGAGUGGCAUCAGAGAUGAUGGAAUGCCAGGAGGAGACAUCAAUCUGCAGCACUGAAGUGGAGCCCAAAGUUGCUGACACGUCACAGGCAAAAGAAACAAAGAAGUCUUUGAGAAGUUUCUUUAAACAGAGCAGAGCUGCAGCAAAAGGUGAUUCCUCUCUGACCCUUAAGAAUGCUGUAGAAGCAGAGUUAAACAACUACCUGCUAACACAAAGAGGAAGAGCCACAUACAUGGCUCACAGAGUAAGCCUUCUACGACUUGCCAAGCUUGCCCGCAACUAUCUAUCCAUUCCUGCUACAAGCUCCCCCUCAGAGAGGCUUUUCAUUCCAAGUGGCCAAGUUGUCACUUGCCAAUGUUCUUGUCUCAAGCCUGCAAUAGUGGAUAGACUGGUAUUCUUGGCCAAAAAUCUCUAAGCUUGAGUGAGCAAUGCAUUCAGAUGCUUAAAAAGUCAAAAUAUUAUAUUUGACUAAAUUAUGCAACAGUUGUGAGAAAGAAAUGUUGAGAUUUAUUUAUCUGCUAGGUACAGGUUAUCGAAAAGUUUAAUACACUGCAAAUGGAUUCCCUGGAAAAGCUUUGGUCUGUUGAAAAGAUUGUACAAAGCAACACGGUCUCCGUUACAGAGCUGCAUGCUUAGAUGGAAUACACUGGUAAACAGGUGGAGGACAUGAGGGGCACAGUGAAUACUUUGCAAAACAAGAUUGCCAUGCUGGAGAACGAAAACAAAGUUCUUUGUCAAAAAACGUGAUGAGAUGGAUGUGUACAAAUGACACUGGAACUUGCGGGUGGCAUUCCGGAAUGAAUGGGGGGAAAUGUGAAACAGAUCAUUAUUGAACUUUUUGGAAAGGUGGCACAAGACAUAUCUGAUCAGCUUCUGAACCCUGUGUACAUUGCUCACAAGCUUGGUCCGAGCUCGGGCUCAUGUGGGACAUUUAGUCAGGGACAUGAUUUGGAAAAAUGCCAAAACUUCAGAAGUUCUCAAACAGAGAAAUGUACAUGUCUUUGAAGAUCUCCCGCAAGACGCAAAAGAUGCGAGGAAGAAGCUGUGGCCGUCGGUAGAGAAGGCAAGGGGUGAGGGGAAGAGGGCUAGUUUUCAGGGUCCAUUCGCUAUAACUGAUAGUUUUUUACAAUCAUUUAAUGACAUGUAAUCUAGAAUGUUUGCAAACAUUCAUCCAGUGACUAUGAGAUGGUAACAAUGGACCUAAAAACCUGUAUACAUACAUAAAUACGUCUUUAUCAUUACUGGUUGAUAUAACCGAUGUCCUUUUAGUUAUGUGCAUGAUAUCCAUCCACAGCUAAACAUUGUUGGGUAGAAAAGUUCUGUUCUGCUAAGUUCUGUUAACUUACACUUGUUUCACCAAGGUGUGAUCUGCUGUUGUGUUUACUCAUUUCUCAAGGUUAACUUUGUUUGAAAUUUGCUAUCUUUUAUGUCUUUAUCUAUACUGGUUAGGAAAAUAUGCAAAUGAUUGUAGGUGGUGAUUUCAAUAUAACCUUAGAGAACUCACUUGACAGAUGUCCUCCAAGAUGAGCUUCAACAUCAAAUUCUAAUUUAAAAGUUUUCAUGGAGAAAAUUUGACAUUAUUGACAUCUGGUGAAAAAAGUUUCCUCAUAAUACACUUGGAGUAAUAAGGAUAAUUCUAGACAAUAUUGUAUUGAUUACUGGCUGGUUUCCAAGUGUAUGAUAAAUAAUAAUAAUAUCUCAAUUUUCAUCCAUUAUACACCAUUAACUGAUCAUACAGCUAUGCAUUUUGUAGUUAGUCUCUCUGAAGCAUCUGAAAGUAGAUUGACAAAAUCAUUAAUAUGGAAGAUGAAUAACUCUUUCCUUGAACUAGAUCCAGUUAAACAGGAAAUUUCAGCCUUAAUAGACAUGUAUUGGAUCACAGCAGAAAAAGAAAAAUCUUUCUGCUGAAAUUGGGAGUUACUAUAGUAAGAAAUUGGUAAAUGUUUAAGAAAAACUGGUAGUAGUGGCUAAGAAAAGAGAGAAGGAAGAUAAUGUAGUAUCUAGGUUUUCUCAUCUUUCUAUCCAUCUCUCAGAGGAGGAUAAGAAAGAAUAUAUUAAAUUGCAAGAUGAGUUAAAUGAUAUAUACCUUUUUAGAGCUAAAGGUGCUUUUUUAGGUCUAGAAGGAAGUGGAUGGAAGAGGGGAGCAAAACUCUUCAUUUUUUUUUUUUUUUAAGUUAGAGGAAAGUAAUACCAUACACUCCACUAUUGAACAUCUGAAUAUUGAUGGCGUAGUGACAACUGAGAAGAUUCUGAUUCAUUCUGUACUGAGUUCCAUAGAAGUCUUUAUAAAUCUAGACACUCAGAAGAUGCAACAUCUUUUUUCUUGGACUUAGUUCAUUGUAAAGGUAUCUCAGAAGUUGAGAGGAAGACAUAUACCAUGAUUGUGAUAUUUCUCUAGAGGAAGUCACAAAAAAUAUCUCCAAAUUAAAAAAUAACAAGUCGUCUGGAAGGGAUGGAAUUAAAUGUUUAAUGGUGGCCGAACAGCUGGCACCCUUGCUGCUCCAGGUUUUCUUAGAAUGUUUGCGCAAUGAGGUUCUUCCACCAAAUAUGACACAGGGCAUCAUAAUGUUAAUACCAAAACCUAACAAAGAUUUGGCAAUGUUAGAGAACUGGUGACCAGUAAGUCUACUUAAUGACUAUCAAGUAUUUACUUCCAUAUUUGCAAAUCGAUUAAAAAAUGUUUUACAUGACAUUAUAGGUGAAAAGCAAAAUGGUUUUAUGAGAAAGCGACAUACUGCUAAUAACAUCCGUUUGGUGUUAGAUGUGUUGGAUUAUAGUGAAAUCAUAGGUAGUGAUGCCUACAUAUUUUUAGAUUUUUAUAAGGCCUUUGAUUUGUUAGAGCACACAUUUAUAAAAAAAAAUUUGGUGUUGGUAGAUAGUGUUGUGUCAAAAUUAAAUAUGGUACUUCCUCAAGAUUUUAUUUAUCUCGUGGCAUCAGACAAGGUUGUCCAGUCUCCCCCUACCUCUUCCUGUUAGCUUACCAAUGUUUUGCUGCUUUUUUACAGCUUAGAGGGUAUACUGGUUGAGAACCAACAUGUUUUAAUCAAUCAAUUGGCAAAUGACACAAUCAUCUUUCUUAAAUAUUCAUCACAAAUUUCGGUUGCCAUAGGUUUAAUUGAAAUUUUAAAAGUUUAAUUGGGCUUUUUUUGAAUAAAAAUAAAUGGGAGCAGAUGGCUGUUAAAAACAAUGCUAUGCCAAAUUCCAGUAAAAAAUGAAGUGACUUAUUUAGGUGUAAAUAUAGUUAAAGAUGGAAAUGCCAGAUGUUCUUUAAAUCUAAAUCCAAUUAUUGAAAAAGCAAUAAAUAAAUAAAUUCUUGGUUGUAGAGGGACCUCUCUCUAAGAGGGCAAAUUCUGUUAACUAAGGCAGAUGGCAUAUCUAGGCUAAGAUAUGCGGCUAUGUCCCUACACGUUGAUAUUACAACUAAAAAGACAGAAUACUAUUCAACUUUAUAUGGAAGAACAGAAAUCAUUACGUAAAAAAAAAAUCUGUCAUCAUGAAUACCAACACUUGUGGAGGUAAGAAUGUCCUUGACUUUUCAUCAUGUAAAAUAACUCCUUGAAAAUGAAUUGGCUUAAACAAUUCCUUAGUACUCCAUCUUCUUUUUGAAAUGCAGUCCCACAUUAUGUUUUUUCUCAGUUAGGUGGUUUAAACUUCCUUUUAAUGUGUAAUUAUAAUAUUAGUAAAAUCCCCAUUAAGUUAUCAAAUGCUAAAAGCAGAUGCUUUUAGCCUGGUCUUUAAUUUACAAACACAAUUUUAUCCCUCAUAGGUAUAUUAUUUGGAAUAUCAUGUAUAAGAGAAAAUCAACAUUUUUUGAAAAUUGGGUAAAAAUGAUAUUUUACUCGUAAGUCAGCUUUUUAAUUCUGAAGGGCUUCUUUUGUUUUAUAAAGAAUUGCUGACAAAAUUCAAAAUAUCCACCACACCUAGAGAGUUCUCAGUAGUCUUUAAUGCUAUACCUUCAGGCGCUGUUACCUUUUUAAGAAACCAACACACUAAUAUAACCCUGAAUUUGUCUGAGAUAGACUCCUUAAAUACUUAUAUAGGGAAAAUUUGCUUUUCGCCCAUUCCUAGAAAAUAUAAUAGAGCAAUUCGAUCUUUAUUACAAGAACAGUUUGUCACAGUCUCAUAUCUGAUUUCUUACUGGAAUGGAUUCAUUGACAGUAUCUCCUGGGAAAAGAUGUGGACCUUACCAUUGAAGUAUCUUCUAACUAACAAAGUAAGAGAGGUUUCUUUUAAAUUACUCCAUAGAUUUUAUCUGGCAAAAAGCUUCAUUCAAAAAUUCAAAAAUAACACAGACACUAAAUGCUGUUUUUGUAACAGUCCAUCAGAAACAGCGCUUCAUUUAUUUGUAAUAAAUGAAUUGUAAUUGUGAAUUGUAAUCACACUUUAAACUUUUGGUAUGAUCUCUGUAAUAUCAUUAAGACCAGCAUAAAAUUUUUGAUUUUACUUAUCAGCAUGUGCUAUUUGGUUUCCAUAACUAUGAAAGAAAAGACAGCAAUAAGUACUAUGUAAUUACACAUAUAACAUUAUAAAUGAUAAUUGGUAAUUUGGUAAUUCAAAACCACGUUUUUGAAUGAACUACAACAAUAUAAUAGUACUAUAGUGUAAGAAAUAUGGUCUGUCCCGACCCAGCUUCCACUCCGAAGUAGGUGAGAGAACAAAGCUCAUUCCCAAAACGGCUUAAUUAGCAUAGAGACAGUGUAUUUUGAUAUCAACAAUGUGUGAAUAGUGUCGUCUGAAUGACACGAAACCAAUUGUAGAAGGGGAGCGGCCGUGGGACAGCGUGUGUAGCAGUGUGUAUAGCCCCCACAUGCCUGUAUGGUGAUGGUGGAUGGUGUCCUUGGGGGAUCUCCUCCCAGACCUGGAUCAGGGCAUCAGUGAGCUCCUGGACAGUCUGUGGUGCUACUUGGCGGCUUCGGAUGCUCUGAUACAUAAUGUCCCAGAUGUUCUCAAUUGGAUUCAGGUCUGCGGAACAUAAGGCCAUCCAAUGGCAUCAAUGCCUUUGUCAUCCAGAAACU